rnacentral:rRNA from 1 species
AUACGGAGGGGACUAGCGUUGUUCGGAAUUACUGGGCGUAAAGCGUACGUAGGCGGAUCGGAAAGUAUAGGGUGAAAUCCCAGGGCUUAACCCUGGAACCGCCUUAUAAACUCCCGGUCUUGAGUUCGAGAGAGGUGAGUGGAAUUCCGAGUGUAGAGGUGAAAUUCGUAGAUAUUCGGAGGAACACCAGUGGCGAAGGCGGCUCACUGGCUCGAUACUGACGCUGAGGUACGAAAGUGUGGGGAGCAAACAGGAUUAGAUACCCUAGUAGUCC